GUGAACGCUGGCGGUAGGCCUAACACAUGCAAGUCGAACGGCAGCACAGUAAGAGCUUGCUCUUACGGGUGGCGAGUGGCGGACGGGUGAGGAAUACAUCGGAAUCUACUUUUUCGUGGGGGAUAACGUAGGGAAACUUACGCUAAUACCGCAUACGACCUACGGGUGAAAGCAGGGGAUCUUCGGACCUUGCGCGAUUGAAUGAGCCGAUGUCGGAUUAGCUAGUUGGCGGGGUAAAGGCCCACCAAGGCGACGAUCCGUAGCUGGUCUGAGAGGAUGAUCAGCCACACUGGAACUGAGACACGGUCCAGACUCCUACGGGAGGCAGCAGUGGGGAAUAUUGGACAAUGGGCGCAAGCCUGAUCCAGCCAUACCGCGUGGGUGAAGAAGGCCUUCGGGUUGUAAAGCCCUUUUGUUGGGAAAGAAAAGCAGCAGGUUAAUACCCCGCUGUUCCGACGGUACCCAAAGAAUAAGCACCGGCUAACUUCGUG
rnacentral:rRNA from 1 species